rnacentral:rRNA from 1 species
AGCGCAACCCUGCCAUCAGUUGCUACGAAAGGGCACUCUGAUGGGACUGCCGGUGACAAACCGGAGGAAGGUGGGGAUGACGUCAAGUCCUCAUGGCCCUUAUAGGUGGGGCUACACACGUCAUACAAUGGCCGGUACAAAGGGCAGCAAACCCGCGAGGGGGAGCCAAUCCAUCAAAGCCGGUCGUAGUCCGGAUCGCAGUCUGCAACUCGACUGCGUGAAGUCGGAAUCGCUAGUAAUCGUGGAUCAGCAUGUCACGGUGAAUACGUUCCCGGGUCUU